AUUGAACGCUGGCGGCAGGCCUAACACAUGCAAGUCGAGCGGUUGAGGUAGCUUGCUACCGAUGCAGCGGCGAACGGGUGAGUAAUGCAUGGGAAUCUGCCUGGUAGUGGGGGACAACGUCUCGAAAGGGACGCUAAUACCGCAUACGCCCUACGGGGGAAAGGGGGGGAUCUUCGGACCUCUCGCUAUCAGAUGAGCCCAUGUCGGAUUAGCUAGUUGGUGAGGUAAAGGCUCACCAAGGCGACGAUCCGUAACUGGUCUGAGAGGAUGAUCAGUCACACUGGAACUGAGACACGGUCCAGACUCCUACGGGAGGCAGCAGUGGGGAAUAUUGGACAAUGGGCGCAAGCCUGAUCCAGCCAUGCCGCGUGUGUGAAGAAGGCCUUAGGGUUGUAAAGCACUUUCAGUGGGGAGAAAAGUGAUUCACCUAAUACGUGAGUUAAUUGAUGUUACCCACAGAAGAAGCACCGGCUAACUCCGUGCCAGCCGCCGCCGUAACAC
rnacentral:rRNA from 1 species